rnacentral:piRNA from 1 species
UAUGAUGUUGAUUUUGAAAGAAAAAGAAGUU